AAUGGGCGAAAGCCUGAUCCAGCAAUGCCGCGUGUGCGAUGAAGGCUUUCGGGUUGUAAAGCACUUUUGUCAGGGAAGAAAUGGUUCGGGCCAAUACCUCGGACUUCUGACGGUACCUGAAGAAUAAGCACCGGCUAACUACGUGCCAGCAGCCGCGGUAAUACGUAGGGUGCAAGCGUUAAUCGGAAUUACUGGGCGUAAAGCGUGCGCAGGCGGUUUACUAAGACAGGUGUGAAAUCCCCAGGCUUAACCUGGGAACUGCAUCUGUGACUAGUAGACUAGAGUUUGGCAGAGGGGGGUGGAAUUCCUGGUGUAGCAGUGAAAUGCGUAGAUAUCAGGAGGAACACCGAUGGCGAAGGCAGCCCCCUGGGCCACCACUGACGCUCAUGCACGAAAGCGUGGGGAGCAAACAGGAUU
rnacentral:rRNA from 1 species